rnacentral:snRNA from 1 species
AUCUGUUCUUAUCAGUUUAAUAUCUGAUAUGUACCCUGUCUGGGGACUGCAUAUUAAAUGGAUUUUUGGAUCAUGGAGCUGGAUUUGGGGCUUGCUCCGUCCACUCCACGCAUUGGUCUGGUCUUGCAGUAUCUCCAGAAACGGUGU